GGAUUAGAUACCCUGGUAGUCCACACCGUAAACGCUGUCUACUAGCUGUUUGUGUAUUUUAUACGUGAGUAGCGAAGCUAACGCGCUAAGUAGACCGCCUGGGGAGUACGGCCGCAAGGUUAAAACUCAAAUGAAUUGACGGGGGCCCGCACAAGCGGUGGAGCAUGUGGUUUAAUUCGAUGCAACGCGAAGAACCUUACCUACACUUGACAUACAGAGAACUUACCAGAGAUGGUUCGGUGCCUUCGGGAACUCUGAUACAGGUGCUGCAUGGCUGUCGUCAGCUCGUGCCG
rnacentral:rRNA from 1 species